AGAGUUUGAUCAUGGCUCAGGAUGAACGCUAGCUACAGGCUUAACACAUGCAAGUCGAGGGGAAACGACAUCGAAAGCUUGCUUUUGAUGGGCGUCGACCGGCGCACGGGUGAGUAACGCGUAUCCAACCUGCCCACCACUUGGGGAUAACCUUGCGAAAGUAAGACUAAUACCCAAUGACGUCUCUAGAAGACAUCUGAAGGAGAUUAAAAGAUUUAUCGGUGAUGGAUGGGGAUGCGUCUGAUUAGCUUGUUGGCGGGGUAACGGCCACCAAGGCGACGAUCAGUAGGGGUUCUGGAGAGGAAGGUCCCCCAANAUUGGAACUGAGACACGGUCCAAACUCCUACGGGAGGCA
rnacentral:rRNA from 1 species